CACGGCGCACGGGUGCGUAACACGUGGGUAAUUUGCCCUCCGAUGGGGAAUAACCCCGGGAAACCGGGGCUAAUACCGCAUAACAUUCCUGGGACUUCGGUCUCGGGACUCAAAGCCGUAAGGCGUCGGAGGUGGAGCCCGCGCACGAUUAGCUAGUUGGUAGGGUAACGGCCUACCAAGGCUAUGAUCGUUAGCUGGUCUGAGGGGAUGGCCAGCCACACUGGAACUGAGACACGGUCCAGACUCCUACGGGAGGCAGCAGUGGGGAAUCUUGCGCAAUGGGCGAAAGCCUGACGCAGCGACGCCGCGUGGGGGAUGAAGCUUCUCGGAGUGUAAACCCCUUUCGACCGGGACGAAUGCCCGCAAGGGAGUGACGGUACCGGUAUAAGAAGCCCCGGCUAACUACGUGCCAGCAGCCGCGGUAAGACGUAGGGGGCCAGCGUUGUUCGGAAUUACUGGGUGUAAAGGGUUCGUAGGCGGUGUGGCAAGUCGGGAGUGAAAUCUCUGGGCUCAACUCAGGGGCUGCUUCCGAAACUGCUGUGCUAGAGUGUGGGAGAGGCGCGUGGAAUUGCAGGUGUAGCGGUGAAAUGCGUAGAUAUCUGCAGGAACACCCGUGGCGAAAGCGGCGCGCUGGACCACUACUGACGCUGAGGAACGAAAGCUAGGGGAGCAAACAGGAUUAGAUACCCUGGUAGUCCUAGCCCUAAACCAUCAGGACUUGGGGUGCCACCCGUUCGGGUGUCGUCCCGGAGCUAACGCGUUAAGUCCUGCACCUGGGGAGUACGGUCGCAAGACUGAAACUCAAAGGAAUUGACGGGGGCCCGCACAAGCGGUGGAACAUGUGGUUCAAUUCGA
rnacentral:rRNA from 1 species